rnacentral:lncRNA from 1 species
GUAGCUGGGACUGUAGGUCUCCCUCUGUUGUCCAAGGCUGGAGUGUAGUAGCGCUAUCGCAGCUGACUGCAGCCUCAACCUUCCAGG